rnacentral:rRNA from 1 species
CAAUAGCGUAUAUUAAAGUUGUUGCAGUUAGAACGCUCGUAGUCGGAUUUCGGGGCGGGCCGACCGGUCUGCCGAUGGGUAUGCACUGGUCGGCGCGUCCUUCCUUCCGGAGACCGUCCCUACUCUUAACUGAGCGGGGGCGGGAGACGGGACUUUUACUUUGAAAAAAUCGGAGUGUUUCAAGCAGGCAGCUCGCUCUUGCAUGGAUUAGCAUGGGAUAAUGAAAUAGGACUUUGGUGCUAUUUUGUUGGUUUCGAACACCGAAGUAAUGAUGAGAAGGGACAGUCAGGGGCACUCGUAUUCCGCCGAGAGAGGUGAAAUUCUCAGACCAGCGGAAGACGAACCACUGCGAAAGCAUUUGCCAGGGAUGUUUUCACUGA